rnacentral:rRNA from 1 species
UAGGGAAUCUUCCGCAAUGGACGCAAGUCUGACGGUGCAACGCCGCGUGAGUGAAGAAGGAUUUCGGUUCGUAAAACUCUGUUGUUAGAGAAGAACAGCGCAUAGAGUAACUGUUAUGCGUGUGACGGUAUCUAACCAGAAAGCCACGGCUAACUACGUGCCAGCAGCCGCGGUAAUACGUAGGUGGCAAGCGUUGUCCGGAUUUAUUGGGCGUAAAGCGAGCGCAGGCGGUCAAUUAAGUCUGAUGUGAAAGCCCCCGGCUCAACCGGGGAGGGUCAUUGGAAACUGGUUGACUUGAGUGCAGAAGAGGAGAGUGGAAUUCCAUGUGUAGCGGUGAAAUGCGUAGAUAUAUGGAGGAACACCAGUGGCGAAGGCGACUCUCUGGUCUGUAACUGACGCGGAGGCUCGAAAGCGUGGGUAGCAAACAGG